ACGAUGUAGGGGAGCGGGCCGAACUCGGUGUUCGUCUCGCCGGUGUCGUAGACGGCGACGAUCGCCGGGUGGUUCAGGGCCGCCGCGUUCUG
rnacentral:tRNA from 1 species